AAAUAAUCCCUAAUUUAUGAAUUUAUACCUUUUUACAUUUUUUAUGAUCUUUAUUUGAAUAAGAGUAUUUUAUUCCCAAAUUUGGUGUUAAUUGCAGAUUUCUAAGGAAGAUUGGAGAUUUGGAUUAAAGAUGAAUGAUUUGAGCUAAAAAGAUAAAGAUAGAAGGUCCCAGAAUGGAAAAAGAUGCAAAGGAAGAUUGGGCCUUUUUUUAUGUUUUAUCAUUUAGCCCAUUAGCGCGACACAAUAAACAACCUAACCCUAGAAAACUAGGAUAAAUAGAGGGUUAGAGGCUCAACCUUAGUGUGCCAGAUUGAGAGGAAAACACCAUAGAGUGAGUUGUAACCCAAUUGGGAGAAUGGAAGGUGAUAGAAGUAUGCGUGGCUAAUUCUACCCUUUGGGAUUGAGAGUAAUCU
rnacentral:lncRNA from 1 species